GGCCCUGUCGUCUAGUGGUUAGGACACAGCCCUUUCAAGGCUGCGACACGGGUUCAAAUCCCGUCAGGGUCA
rnacentral:tRNA from 2 species